GUGCCAGCGCCGCGGUAAUACCGGCAGCCCGAGUGAUGGCCGAUAUUAUUGGGCCUAAAGCGUCCGUAGCUGGCUGCGCAAGUCCGUCGGGAAAUCCACCUGCCCAACAGGUGGGCGUCCGGCGGAAACUGUGUGGCUUGGAACCGGAAGGCUCAGAGGGUACGUCCGGGGUAGGAGUGAAAUCCCAUAAUCCCGCACGGACCACCGAUGGCGAAAGCACUUCGAGAAAACGGAUCCGACAGUGAGGGACGAAAGCUAAGAUCGCGAACCGGAUUAGAUACCCUGGUAGUCC
rnacentral:rRNA from 1 species